AUACGGAGGGUGCAAGCGUUACUCGGAAUCACUGGGCGUAAAGCGCGCGCAGGCGGCUUGAUAAGUUGGAUGUGAAAGCCUACGGCUCAACCGUAGAACUGCAUCCAAAACUGUCAAGCUAGAGUCUGGGAGGGGAAGAUGGAAUUAGUUGUGUAGGGGUAAAAUCCGUAGAGAUAACUAGGAAUAACAAAAGCGAAGGCGAUCUUCUGGAACAGUACUGACGCUGAGGCGCGAAAGCGUGGGGAGCAAACAGAAUUAGAAACCCUAGUAGUCC
rnacentral:rRNA from 1 species